GGGUGAGUAAUGCCUAGGAAAUUGCCCUGANNUGGGGGAUAACCAUUGGAAACGAUGGCUAAUACCGCAUAAUANCUNNGGGUCAAAGAGGGGGACCUUCGGGCCUCUCGCGUCAGGANNUGCCUAGGUGGGAUUAGCUAGUUGGUGAGGUAAUGGNUCACCAAGGCGACGAUCCCUAGCUGGUCUGAGAGGAUGAUCAGCCACACUGGAACUGAGACACGGUCCAGACUCCUACGGGAGGCAGCAGUGGGGAAUAUUGCACANUGGGCGCAAGCCUGAUGCAGCCAUGCCGCGUGUGUGANNAAGGCCUUCGGGUUGUAAAGCACUUUCAGUCGUGANGAAGGUANUGUAGUUAAUAG
rnacentral:rRNA from 1 species